rnacentral:rRNA from 1 species
AACGAACGCUGGCGGCAGGCUUAACACAUGCAAGUCGAGCGCCCCGCAAGGGGAGCGGCAGACGGGUGAGUAACACGUGGGAAUCUACCCAUCCCUACGGAACAACUCCGGGAAACUGGAGCUAAUACCGUAUACGCCCUUCGGGGGAAAGAUUUAUCGGGGAUGGAUGAGCCCGCGUUGGAUUAGCUAGUUGGUGGGGUAAAGGCCUACCAAGGCGACGAUCCAUAGCUGGUCUGAGAGGAUGAUCAGCCACAUUGGGACUGAGACACGGCCCAAACUCCUACGGGAGGCAGCAGUGGGGAGUAUUGGACAAUGGGCGCAAGCCUGAUCCAGCCAUGCCGCGUGAAUGAUGAAGGCCUUAGGGUUGUAAAGUUCUUUCACCGAUGAAGAUAAUGACGGUAGUCGGAGAAGAAGCCCCGGCUAACUUCGUGCCAGCCGCCGCCGUAA